GGGAAACACCGUUUGGUAGAUGGAACCCUAAAGCAAUAUUGCCCUCACAAAAUUUUCAUCAUCAUUUCGUGAGUGCAAUAUUGCUUUAGGGUUCCAUCUACCAAACAGUGUUUCCC
rnacentral:pre_miRNA from 1 species